rnacentral:rRNA from 1 species
UACGGGGGAUGCGAGCGUUAUCCGGAUUUAUUGGGUUUAAAGGGUGCGCAGGCGGAUUUUUAAGUCAGCGGUCAAAUCGUGGGGCUCAACCCCAUCCAGCCGUUGAAACUGGGGAUCUAGAGUGUGCGAGAGGUAUGCGGAAUGCGUGGUGUAGCGGUGGAAUGCUUAGAUAUCGCGCAGAACCCCGAUUGCGAAGGCAGCAUACCGGCGCCCAACUGACGCUGAAGCACGAAAGCGUGGGUAUCGAACAGG